UACGUAGGGUCCGAGCGUUGUCCGGAAUUAUUGGGCGUAAAGAGCUCGUAGGCGGUCUGUUGCGUCGGCUGUGAAAACCCGGGGCUCAACUCCGGGCCUGCAGUCGAUACGGGCAGACUAGAGUUCGGUAGGGGAGACUGGAAUUCCCGGUGUAGCAGUGAAAUGCGUAGAUAUCGGGAGGAAUACCGAUGGCGAAGGCAGGUCUCUGGGCUGACACUGACGCUCAUGCACGAAAGCGUGGGGAGCAAACAGG
rnacentral:rRNA from 1 species